AAGCGACUGACCAUGCAAUGCAUGCUUCCAGUAGGAUGCACAGCCAACAAUUAUGGUUUGCGUGCCCUGCCGAAGGAGCCUAUCAUGAGGAAUAAGUGGUUGGAGUUCGUUGGUCCCCAGUGUUGCUUGUCAGGCAAGACCUCAGAAUAAAAGUGUGUCAUGCGACACAAGUACCCUUUUGACACCUCCUACGUUGUUGCCAGUCUCUCUCGACCCCUAUAAAAAGGACACGCCAUCAUGAGGCCUCCGACAGUGACCCGAGUUACUGCCCUGAUGACACAGACGGCUUCAUCAACAACGACAGGCCCUCGUCGUCCUCACCAGGGUAUUGAGCUGACG